GGAGGGAUCGCAUAGUGGUCUAGUGCGGGCGCCUGCUAAGCGCUUGGGGGUCCAAAAGGCCCCUCACGGGUUCGAAUCCCGUUCCCUCCGCCA
rnacentral:tRNA from 1 species